GUUCUCAGAGGGGGUGACGCGUGAGCUGCAUUCUGAGGAGGAGAUUGCUGCGCCACUGAUACAGAUUUAAAGUGACAGCCACAACGAAAUGUAGUACGGUGGAAAAAACAAUGGAGAAGGAGGCAGAAAAUGUGAGUUCUAGGACUGGAGCUACCGGUAACUAGAAGGUGACUUUGAACAAGUCAAUUGCCUGAUUUCAGUGAUUUCUGACUAUGAUUUCACUAAAAGCAACUGCAAGAAGAACUAUAUCAUCAACUAGCUAUAUCUUCUUUAAUUGAUUUUGGAAGGCACAAAGAAUAAGUUUCCAGAAAAAACAAGAACAUGAUCAUGGAUCUUUUUAAUACUAUCCCAUUGUUGUUUUCCAGUGGCCUCCUUGCCUUGAUAUUUAGCCCAUCAAAUCUCUGGGCACAAGGGACUGCUCUUUAUUCAAUCCUGUCAUAACUCUGCAAAACCUUCCCCUUCUGAUCUCCUCUCGGUUGUGAAUGAUCCCUGGAAAUACUUCGGGGAGUACUGGGAACUGACACCGGCAGAGCUGACCAAGUGAGUUAACAUGAGACAAUCGUGUUAGGAGCACAUUUCCUAGCUUAAGCAGGGAACAUCUGUGAUGAAAAAUGCUAAGCCAAUUAACUCACAAAAAUAAGCUAAUUUUGCAUUCUUUGUUUAGAUAUGAAAUACUAACUGGGGGGGGUGUCACUAUGUCAUUGUUUGCAAAGAAAGGGGCAGACUCUACUGAACAAUCUUGCCUCUUUUCUGCAGUGGGGCUAUGAGAAACCUUGUCCCAUUCUGGCUGAGGGUGCUGAAGUAGGAAGGCGUGUUGGAACUACUGAGAGCAGAGAACUCAACACACACAAAGAAUCCAAAAUUUGCUUUUACUCGGAGUCCUGAGAAGUUCUAAUUACACACUGUUCUAACAAGAACAAGCAGCAAAGAUGGCACAUAACUUACCCAACGUACCAGCAGUCUACCCAACUGUUCUCUGUCUUCAGGAACUCCUUUUCUCUGUUCAUUAUGUAUUCUUUAUUCAUUGAACUUUACGUGAAAAUAAACAUCCCAA